rnacentral:misc_RNA from 1 species
GGCCGGUGGACCAUCAAAGCUUGGGUGACUGCAAAGACUGAAAUCAAACGGUACAGUAAUCCUAGAGGGGAGGGAAAGCUAUUCUCCUUUGACCUUCUUGAUUCUGAGGGCGGAGAAAUACGUGUAACUUGCUUCAACAUGGCAGCUGACCAGUUCUAUGAGCAAAUUGAGAAUGGAAAAGCAUACUUAAUAUCUCAAGGAAGUGUUAAGCCUGCACGAAAG